rnacentral:misc_RNA from 1 species
UAUUCUCAACCUUCAUAACUUUUUGUUAUCGAAGGCUUGGACUUGGAGGUCGUGCUGGCUCUCGUUAGUCGGCUCCUCUUAAAUGCAUUAGCGUUAGUGUAACGGAUCGCUUCGGUGUGAUAAUUAUCUGCGCCGUGGUCGUGAAGUAACAUAAGCUUGCGCUUCUAACCGUCCUUCAGUUGGACAACUUACUUUGAC